rnacentral:sRNA from 1 species
CAAAUUUUUCGAGUUAAUUUCAGUUCUUUGAAAUCUGGCGUUACAGUAGGAAAUCAAGGACUACAGGUUCAUGUUUCAUAAUCAGUGGAAGGAAUAUAACUCACGAUCUAAACACUGGGAAUGUAAUGUAUCUAUGAAGUUGUACAGCGGAGCCACGUACUUGUCCAACAUGCUCAGGAAACAGUAAAAUCUCAAACAAGAAUGACUAAUCUGAAGCAUCACUGCGCUUUCUUCUUAGCAUCUUUGGCUUGCCCCUUCUUGCGGAUCUUGAUGCACAUUCCCAGGCGAAUGCUGUCAAUGAGUGACUCGGGGAGAAUGGAGAUCAGGAACCACAUUACAGAGUGUGGCCAGUACGGUGUGCACCUCGGCUCAUAGCCUAUGUGACGAAUGGCAGCACGGGCGUAGGUGUCCGCGGAUGGGACAAAGAACGAGGAUUUCCUGAUAGAGGCCAUCUUUGUUGCCACAUACAAGGGCACCUGGCAUUGCACAUCAAUACCCUUGCUCUUGUACUCAACAUAAAGGCAUCUUGAGAAUUGGUCAACCUCACGCUUUGGUGGCGGCGUAGACGGAGUAGAGCGGAUCGGACGGCAUGACGGAGGAGGAGCCGGAGCCGAUGUUGACGAUGGCGCCGCGCUUCCUCUCCACCAUGGCCGGGAGCACGGCGUGCGUGACCCGCGUGAGGCCCUCGACGUUGACCCGGAUCAGGGUGCGCAUGAGCUCCUCGUCCACCUCGUGGAGGUAGCGGGCGUACGGGUACGAGACACCGGCGUUGUUGACGAGCACGCCCACCUCGAGCCCACGGAUGGCCUCCCUGAGCCCCUCCACCCCGGCGGCGAGGCCGUCGGCGGCGAAGUCGAGCACGAACGUCCGCACCUCCACCCUGGGGUACCUCCCCCUGAUCUC